UACUCGGUGCGGUCGGUGCGCGCGCGGCGUGUUCCACCGGGAGCCUUGACGCCUGGGACUCUGACCACGGUCGUCGUCGGAUCCCAGGAACGGAUCUCUCUGGUCGUCAGCUGCGGCCGCGGAGGUGAACGGGAGCCGCCGGCUGUCCGCUGCCUUCAGCUCGAUUGAGAGAAGGGGGGGGGGGGGGGGCGGCGGCGGUUGUGUUCUGUCGGACGUCUGUUGCGAUCUGCGGUGAGGAGUACGGUGAAUGGACGUAUGCAACGCAGAACAGUCAAGAUAGACCGACGAAGGAAACACGGAAUCAAGAUCAGAGCCUAAAGAAAACCGAAAAGUGCAACGAUCAAGAGUGGAUCUCUCGCGUGGGGAAAGAAGUAAGGAGUGGCCCCAGGAUGCGAGUCACGCAGCUCGACAGGGGUCCUCACCGGCCAGGCUGCCCGACAUGGCGGCGUCCAGCGUCGACACCUGGAACAGCCGCAGGGCCUCGUUCACGUGGACCUCCGUCGCGAACGGAAGCAGCUGCAUCUUGGCCAGGCUCUCCGAGAUGCGGAUCACAGCCUCCAGCUGCCUGGAUUGACAAGACACGGCGGGGUCCUCUGAUCAGUCACCCUCCGUGUUUAGGGUUUCACAACCCCCGUGGCGUGAGGAUUGUGCAGCUGUGUCACGAUAUUUGAUGAAUUAAAAAAUGUUACACAGUUAAAAUCUCUUUACAAUGUACAAUGAAACCUCAUUAUAAGGGAUUUCUCACUUUCAAGUACAUAUUUUCAGGUUCCAAUACAAUGUAUUACCCAUAGUAACUGUUCAGUAUAAAGUACUUUCAUUAUUACUUAUGAAAAUGGUAAGAGGUUUUUUUUUUGGUGGUAAUGAGAUUUCACUGUACAUGAAAAACCCCAAUUUUUUUAAUACUUCAUAUUAAUGUGCUUUGUACUGAACAGUUACUAAAUCAAAUUAUGUACUUAAAAGUGAUAAAUCCUUUAAAGUGAGUUACUUUAUAAUGAGAUUAUGUUGUAUUAAAAAAAAUUCUGUUUGGGCAAUUCAUUGCUAGCCUGGAAUGAUAGAAGGAAAAGGUUGAGACUAGCUGCUCACGCAAUCUAAUACAACCAAUAAUUUUGAAGAAAAAUAAAAUGCUUAGAUAGGUGACAAAUAGAAACUAUGUGCAUCUUUUAUCAACCAUAUCUCUGAAUCUAACUCAAAAGAUUUUUUUUUCCUUUCUGAGUAUACUGCAAGAUGAAUAAAAUUACUUGGGUCAAAAA